rnacentral:rRNA from 1 species
GACAGAGGUCCCAAGCGUUAGGCGGAAUCACUGGGCUUAAAGCGUGUGUAGGCGGAUUUGUAAGUACCUUGUGAAAUCCCACGGCUCAACCGUGGAACUGCUUGGUAUACUGCUUAUCUUGGGUCAUCUAGGGGCGAGCGGAACAAACGGUGGAGCGGUGAAAUGCGUAGAUAUCGUUUGGAACGCCAAUGGUGAGAACAGCUCGCUGGGGAUGUACCGACGCUGAGACACGAAAGCCAGGGGAGCGAACGGG